UACGGGGGGGGUAAGCGUUGUUCGGAAUCACUGGGCGUAAAGCGCACGUAGGCGGAUCUUUAAGUCAGGGGUGAAAUCCUGGAGCUCAACUCCAGAACUGCCUUUGAUACUGGGGAUCUCGAGUCCGGAAGAGGUGAGUGGAACUCCGAGUGUAGAGGUGAAAUUCGUAGAUAUUCGGAAGAACACCAGUGGCGAAGGCGGCUCACUGGUCCGGUACUGACGCUGAGGUGCGAAAGCGUGGGGAGCAAACAGGG
rnacentral:rRNA from 1 species